UCUAUGGUAUUUUGUCUAUGGAAAUAACCACAGAUAACAACAGACCCAAAAUGCUAUCGUUGGGUUUGGGCAUCAAGAUAGAAUAUUCUAUCUCGAUGGGUUUGGGUAGCCUGCUUCGCAUUGACACUUGUCAUUGGUCUUCAAAAUUUUUAUUUGACAUAAGUAGGGAACCAUUGGAGAUAUUUUGUAUCUGUUUUCACCAUCUCACUCAUCCUUAAAUAACGCAACUUUUAUGUAAUUUGAGACAUCCUGUAUUUCUAACGCUUUUCGAUAUCCCUGAAGUGUCCCUCUACUCCCUCUAAGUCUAAAUAGUUCUAACCCUGUAUAUUAGAACAUUGUGAUUAGUGAUUACUGGCCUUAAAAUAUCAAAAUUAAAAGGGUUUGUCCAAUUGCAAGUCCUGAGUCAGUCAUAUAAUAAUAAGACCUGUAUUCAAGACGACUCCUCUGUUCUGCGUGUUUGUGUUUUGGAUAAUGGAUCGAACGGACUCACCUUCUAUAUUACAGUCUUAUAAUUUGCAGUUGCGUCUAAAUAUCGAAAAUUUCAGUACAACUGAGGAAAACUAUUACCAUUGUUCAUCAUAUUUUUUUCUGAAUAAAUAUCAGAAAUAAACCUGAAA